AACGAACGCUGGCGGCAUGCCUAACACAUGCAAGUCGAACGAAGCCUUCGGGCUUAGUGGCGCACGGGUGCGUAACGCGUGGGAAUCUGCCCCUUGCUUCGGAAUAACAGUUAGAAAUGACUGCUAAUACCGGAUGAAGUCUUCGGACCAAAGAUUUAUCGGCAAGGGAUGAGCCCGCGUAGGAUUAGGUAGUUGGUGGGGUAAAGGCCUACCAAGCCGACGAUCCUUAGCUGGUCUGAGAGGAUGAUCAGCCACACUGGGACUGAGACACGGCCCAGACUCCUACGGGAAGCAGCAGUGGGGAAUAUUGGAAAAUGGACGCAAGUCUGAUCCAGCAAUGCCGCGUGAGUGAUGAAGGCCUUAGGGUUGUAAAGCUCUUUUACCAGGGAUGAUAAUGACAGUACCUGGAGAAUAAGCUCCGGCUAACUCCGUG
rnacentral:rRNA from 1 species